rnacentral:piRNA from 1 species
GGGGCGAGUGUCUGCCCUGGUGCUGUAUCUGC